AUGGCCGGCUUCCCGGGGGCCGGCGGCUACGACACCAUGGACGGAUCCAGCGACGACGAGGACGAGGAGGCCAUGAAGAGCCUCUACGCCGGCGCGCCCCCCGCCCCCGCGGAGGAGGAGGAGGAGGAGGGGCUGCGGAAGAGACUGGUGCGGGAGGGGGAGGGGUCGCAGCUCCCCGGCACCGGCGACGAGGUCGAAGGUAACGCGCCCUCCUCGCUCGCUGCUUCUCCGGCGUGGACGGUGCACUACACGGGGACGCUGGCGGACGGCACCAAGUUCGACUCCAGAGAAGCCCCGUUCCGGUCACCCUCGGCCGAGAUUAGGAGUACAUGUUUACAAGUAGCAACCAGGCGUAUUGGCAGGAAAUCUCGCAUCUACAACGCUGACUGGGGCAUGGCUCAUCAGGAUCCAGUUUAG
rnacentral:rRNA from 1 species